rnacentral:rRNA from 1 species
GAUGAACGCUAGCGGCAGGCCUAAUACAUGCAAGUCGAGGGGUAGAGCUAGCUUGCUAGCUUGAGACCGGCGCACGGGUGCGUAACGCGUAUGCAACCUACCCUUUUCUGGGGGAUAGCCCGGAGAAAUCCGGAUUAAUACCGCAUAAGACCACGAUACGGCAUCGUGAUGUGGUCAAACAUUUAUGGGAGAAGGAUGGGCAUGCGUGCCAUUAGCUAGUUGGCGGGGUAACGGCCCACCAAGGCGACGAUGGCUAGGGGAUCUGAGAGGAUGGCCCCCCACACUGGUACUGAGACACGGACCAGACUCCUGCGGGAGGCAGCAGUAAGGAAUAUUGGUCAAUGGGGGCAACCCUGAACCAGCCAUGCCGCGUGCAGGACGACGGCCCUCCGGGUUGUAAACUGCUUUUGUACGGGAAUAAACCCCGCUACGUGUAGUGGGCUGAAUGUACCGUAAGAAUAAGGAUCGGCUAACUCCGUGCCAGCAGCCGCCGUAAAAC